rnacentral:misc_RNA from 1 species
GCAUAUUUUACUUGAUCUGCAUUGCCUUCCUUGCCAUUCAUACUGCUGAAGACCCCAUACUGAUCUUCAUUAACAAUACCAUUUCCAGACUGAAGUCCAGUUGAGUCUAAAGCAAUAUUGUUGUAUCCAAAAAGUUUGGAGUCGGGCUUAUGGUCAAUAGUUCCUUGGCAAAAUACUUGUUUACCAUCAAGUUUCAUGUUCGCAUAGAUUGCAUAAGAUGCAAGAUUGUAUAGUUCUUCAAGCUAGUUUUAGCGAAAUCUUCAAGCACCACACCGGAAAAUGUAACCUUUUUAAUCAGAGAGGAAUUUAGUUCCCUUUUCCGCUUUCUGAUUCAG